UUUGGAUUCAAAGAUGCCGUGUUUGAUGGCUCCAGCUGCAUCUCUCCUGCCAUAGUUCAGCAGUUCGGGAUCAGCGCCGGGCAUCAGAUGAUGGCAAACGCGCAGAUCCUUCUAAGACAAGCAACACUACCCGUGUCUUCUCGCCAAACAAGCAAAGAACAGUGGUCCCUGUGCGAAAUGGAAUGAGCUUGCACGACUGCCUUAUGGAAGCCCUCGAGGUGAGGGGCCUGCAACCAGAGCACUGUGCAGUGUUCAGACUCCUCCACCAACACGAAGGCCAAAAAGCAGCUUCGAUUGGAAUCCUGAUGCCGCCUGUUUGAUUGGAGAAGAACUUCAAGUAGAUUUCCUGGAUCGUGUUCCGCUGACAACACACAGCUUUGCUCGGACGACGUUCCGACCUUCUGUGACAUCUGCCAGAAAUUCCUGCUCAAUGGAUUUCGGUGUCAGACGUGCGGCUACAGAUUUCAUGAGCACUGUAGCACCAAAGUACCUACUAUGUGUGUGGACUGGAGUCAUAUCGGACAACUCCUAUUGUUUCCAAAUUCCACUAUUGGUGAUAGUGGAGUCCCAGCGCUACCUUCUUUGACUAUGAAUCGUAUGCGAGCGUCUGUUUCCAGGAUGCCUGUUAGUUCUCAGCACAGGUAUUCUACACCUCACGCCUUCACCUUUAACACCUCCAGCCCCUCAUCUGAAGGUUCCCUCUCCCAGAGGCCGAGGUCGACGUCCACACUAAUGUCCACAUGGGUCGACGUCCACACCUAACGUCCACAUGGUCAGCACCACCCUGCCUGUGGACAGCAGGAUGAUUGAGGAUGCAAUUCGAAGUCACAGCAAGUCAGCCUCACCUUCAGCCCUGUCCAGUAGCCCCAACAAUCUGAGCCCAACAGGCUGGUCACAGCCGAAAACACCCGUGCCAGCACAGAGAGAGCGGGCACCAGUAUCUGGGACCCAGGCGAAAAACAAAAUUAGGCCUCGUGGACAGAGAGACUCAAGCUCUUACUGGGAAACAGAAGCCAGUGAAGUGAUGCUGUCCACUCGGACUGGGUCAGGCUCUUUUGAAACUGUUUAUAAGGGCACAUGCACGGAGACGUUGCAGUAAAGAUCCUAAAGGUUGUCAACCCAACCCCAGAGCAAUUCCAGGCCUUCAGGAAUGAGGUGGCUGUUCUGCGCAAAACACGGCGUGUGAACAUUCUGCUUUUCAUGGGGUACGUGACAAAGGACAACCUGGCAAUUGUGACCCAGUGGUGCGAGGGCAGCAGCCUCUACAAACACCUGCGUGUCCAGAAGACCAAGUUUCAGAUGUUCCAGCUAAUGGACACUGCCUGGCAGACGGCUCAGGGAAUGGACUAUUUGCAUGCAAAGAACAUUAUCCACAGAGACAUGAAAUCCAACAAUACAUUUCCCCAUGAAGGCCUAACAGUGAAAACUGGAGAUUUUGGUUUGGCAACAGUAAAGUCACGCUGGAGUGGUUCUCAGCAGGUUGAACAACCUGCUGGCUCUGUCCUGUGGAUGGUCCCAGGGGUGAUCUGAAUGCAGGAUAACAACCCAUUCAGUUUCCAGUCGGAUGUCCACUCCUAUGGCAUCGUGUCGUAUGAGCUGAUGACGGGGGAGCUUCCUUACUCUCACACCAACAACCGAGAUCAGAUCAUCUUCGUGGUGGGCCGAGGGAUGCCUCCCCAGAUCUUAGUAAGCUAUGUAAGAACUGCCCCAAAGCGAUGAAGAGGCUGGUCGCUGACUGUGUGAAGAAAGUAAAGGGAGAGAGGCCUCUUUUCCCCAGAUCCUGUCUUCCAUUGAGCUGCUCCAACACUCUCUACCGAAGAUCAGCCGGAGCGCUUCCGAGCCGCCCUUGCAUCAGGCAGCCCACACCGAGAAUGUCGAUGCCUGCACGCUGACCACGUCCCCGAGGCUGCCUGUCUUCUGGUUGACUUUGCACCUGCCCUCAGGCUGCCAGGGGAGGAAGAGAAGCCAGCAGGCACCACUUUUCUGCUCCCUUUCUCCGGAGGCAGAACACAUGUUUUCAGAGAAGCUGCUGCUAAGGACCUUCUAGACUGCUCACAGGGCCUCAACUUCAUGGUGCCUUCUUUUCUGUUCCUUUGGGCCCUGGGAGAAGGAAGCCAUUUGCAGUGCUGGUGCGUCCCCGUGCUCAAGGCCCAGCCUUCUCUAGAUGCGCAAGUGGAUGUUGAUGGUGGUACAAAACGCAGGGACCCAGCCCAGCCGUUGGCUCCAUGAGUAUUUCGAGGAAAUAAGUUAGCGGGCAACCCAGCCCUGAUGUGGAGACACAUGGGAUUUUGGAAAUCAGCUUCUGGAGGAAUGCAUGUCACAGGCGAGACUUUCUUCAGAGAGUCAUGCAGCGCCAGACGUUUUGCACAUAAGGCACCAAACAGCCCAGGACUGCCGAGGCUCUGGCCGCCCGAAGGAGCCUGCUUUGGUACUAUGGGACUUUUCUUAGGGGACGCGUCCUCCUUUCACAGCUUCUGAGGUGUCCAGUGCAUUGGGAUGGUUUUCCAGGUGAGGCCCCCAGCCAGUCCCCGUCUCGGCCCUCUCAGGGAGCAGUCUU